rnacentral:lncRNA from 1 species
GCUUUUAGAAUACAGGCGCAAGCCUUUGAAAAUAUUUGGGCGUGUUUUUUUACACGCAAAAUCGUGCUAACCAUGCAUUCAUGUUUCUUUUAAACAGACAAAAUUGAUCACAAAUUUUGAAUCAGAAAUCAAUGCCAAAGUGAUAGAUAUUGAACUGAUCCAAAAACAGAUGACGGGACAAAUGGAAAAACGCCCCGAGUCAGUGACACGUGGAUACAGUACGGUAAGAUGACUUGAAUAUUCUUGAAUUUAUUCCAACGCACAUUUAGAUGAUACCGUUUACUAGAGGUGGAAAAAGUAUAUCGGAACCUAUUUCCCAGAAAUUGGGUGGGGAGGGGGGGGGGGGGAUUAANNNNNNNNNNNNNNNNNNNNGGGGGGGAUCUACAUUCUUGCAGAAAUUUUCACAGACAUUCUUUGAUGUUUUGACAGUUAAUUCUGAAAAUUACUCUAAUUGAAUAUCAAAAUUAUUGAAUGCUUAAGGUGGCUCGAUACAGUUUUCAAAAAUCCAUGUGUUUAACACUUUGACAUGUUCAAACUACGUAUUUUUAGGAUUUAUUCAGCAGAUAUUGGGUUUUUUAUAUAUUUUGAUAACUCUACUUUCAAAUUAUAUUAUUUUUAGUAACAGAUAGUUCGUUGCUAUGACGACAUACGUGUACGAAAUUCACUCCAAAAUGGCC